CGUCGACCGGCGCACGGGUAAGUAACGCGUAUCCAACCUGCCCACCACUUGGGGAUAACCUUGCGAAAGUAAGACUAAUACCCAAUGAUAUCUCUAGAAGACAUCUGAAAGAGAUUAAAGAUUCAUCGGUGAUGGAUGGGGAUGCGUCUGAUUAGCUUGUUGGCGGGGUAACGGCCCCCCAAGGCAACGAUCAGUAGGGGUUCUGAGAGGAAGGUCCCCCACAUUGGAACUGAGACACGGUCCAA
rnacentral:rRNA from 1 species